UAGCGGCUAGUCUAACACAAGACCACUAAUUUCGACUUAGUAAAUCCCAGCCCACCCUGGGGCCAUUAA
rnacentral:tRNA from 1 species